GACAAAUACUAUGUGUUUUAUCUCAUAUAAGGGUCCUAGCUUCAGAUCUUUAGUUUUGCGUGUUUAACAUGGGAUGUUUUAACAGAUAGUAGCUAGGAACAAGCAGCAGACCACUGUCAGGAAGGAUGUGUCAGGGAGUGGAGAUGGUAGAAUGUAUGUGAAGAGAAAGUAGAGAGGAAUGGCACUGGAGGACAGGGGUUCUAGCAGCUAAGAGAGCGGUAGAGGGACGGCAUCGACAAAAUGAUGUGUGCAGGAAACCUGUGAUCUUGUGAUCCAAAUAUAAAACUAGGAUAAGAGGAGGCAUUAGAACAUAUGACAGAAUGCGGAGAACCCUGAGAGCUGAAGGUUGAAGUGCAGGUGCAUACAGGGAAUAGGGAAAGGGAAAGUAGGGUAAGCUAACUAAAACUAAGGAUGUAUGGAGAAGUCUUGUGAUACCCCAGUAAUUUGAAAACUAAUUCUUUUCUUAAAAACAAAAAAAAAGUAAUUUGAAAAAAAAAUACCUCACACUGGUGAAGAAUGCUUAUCCUAGAAGGCAAGAGUUACUAAAUGAAAAUCUCAGUGCCACACGUGGGUCACCCCCCUAUGAGGUAUUGGUUAAAGAGGCCUCGGAGGGAUCCAAAUCAGUUACCAGCUCUUGACAUUGCUCUGGGUUAUCCACCAUAGUUAGAGAGCAAGAUCCUAUUGCUGAAGACACCCCAUAAUUUGGUUGCAUGACACAGGGAAAUCAGUCUUGAAAUGACCAGGGAACUUUCCAUACUGGCUAAAUUUCAGUGCUAGAAGGUGCUAUCCCAGCUGCAGGGGGAAAAGGGCCCGGCAAGAUUUGCCUGUUAGUGUAAUGCUGGCCAUACUAUUAAUGAGGGUGACCAUAAACAGUGUUUAGGAUUGGGUUGGUUGGAUAUGAGACCUGCUCCACAGAAGGGAUCUUAUACCUAGUAUCAUAAACAUCUACAACAAAGGGCCAGAAAUUAGAGCAGGAGGUUAGAAGGGGUGCUGUGAAAUGCUGAAAUGGUUAAUGCUUGGGUGAAUUCACAGCGACUGUGGUUGUGGGAGCCCACAGAAUUGACUCUGUUCCAUCUUGACUUAAGGUCAGUGAGUUUAAACCUACUCUUGCUCUUUCAAGGUUAAACACAUACAUACAUGUAAAGGCAUAAAAAGGUCUAGAGGAUACAAUAAUGCAGGAAUGGAAAGGAAGAGACAAAAUUGUCAAUAUUUGCAAACAGAGUGAUUAUGGUCACAGAAAAGCUAACUGAAAAUGGUUAAAAUUAACAAAAACAUUCAGAAGGGUGUUGCAUAUGACAUAAAUAUUUUAAAAAGCAAUAAUAUUUUAGGUAUCAAAAUUGCCCAUUUAGAAAAUACAAGGGAAAAUGAUUCCCAUAUAUAGAAUUUACAAAACUUUAGUGCAUCCUUAAAUGGGAUAGUCUUAAACACACCUGACUACAUGAUGAUAAAUCCAACCAAAGGACAUUCUGAGUAAAGAGAAACACAUUUGUACCAGAAAGAGAGAUGACAAAUAUUCCCAACUUACUCUAACCUGAAAAGUUAUAACCAGUAGCUUAAGGUGUUUUCUUUGGUUGGUUAAUUCAUAGUGUUUGCUUAUUUGAUUGGUUUCUGAUUUUGGUGGGAUAUGGGAAGAGGGGUACUUGACAAAAAUAGUUUUAUAGUUUAUAUGGAAGAAUAAACAGAAUUUACCAAGGAAAACACGUGAAUACCAUAGUGAGGAAUGCACUCAGAGCAAGAGAGUGUAGUGGUACUGGCAUGGAAAAAAAUAAAAAGAACCUUCAGGCAGCACAGUAAAACACAAAGGAAAACAAAACCCCAGGAGAGAUGACCUUAAGUCUGGAGAAUAAAGUUCUCAAAAAUGGAGGUGCCCAGUGUAAGUCAGUGUGCAGCACCAUUUUAAGAGACACCAACAGUCAAUCUAUGUCACCCCCCUGAGAGGCAAAGCACCCAUGAGACACACCAGCCCACAAGGUUGAUCUCCCUGGCAGAGCCAGUUUGAAAUUCCCUCCAGAUGAUGCAUGCCACAAACAACUAAAACACGACAUGGUGUGUCUUCUUGGGGUCACAUAUAACUAGUGAGACGCUACAAUAAGAGAAGGGCCAGGACCCAUCCAGAGUUGGAGAGGAAGGGAGGAAGGGGUGCUGAAAAGCAUUUAGGAAGAAAGUCACUUUCUAUGCUGACCUGGCCCAUUGACACGAAACAAAUCACAGAUGGAUUAAGGAACUAAAUGUAAAAUGUAUUGUAAAUGCAUACGCUGAGAAGGGGGGAGCAUAGAGGCAUGGACAUUUAACUGGUUGCAGCAUUAGCAGGGUGUUUUUAGACAUAAAGGUAAACAUAACUAGAUAUAACUAAAAUAUAAAACACAGGAAAAUAUGAAGGCAAGUCCAAAGCGGGAAGGUGCUCUUCCACCCGGUGGAAGAGACGAAUGGUCAGUGCUGCUGCCGAAACAGACCCUCAACAGUAUGAGAAACAAAACAGCCCCGUGGUUUGGCAAGAGGCACAAACAAAUUCACAAAUUGUAAGCCAUCAUUCACACAUCAUCACAUGUAUGUGUGUAUAUUUAGUUAACAUACUAGUAAAACAAAAAAGUCAAAGAUUCUGUUUCUCAUAUAUUAAAUUGACUUUCUAAAAACGCAUUGUGCAGUAGCAAAAACUGUGAUGGAGUAGGCUCUCAAAUACAAUGGUCAGAAGAGAGAAAAACUAUAACCUCAGGAAGCAGUUUACUAAUAGGCAUCAAGGCAUCAGGGUCUUUGAAAUGUUCCUAUUCUUUAUCAGUCAUUUUUCUUCCAGGAGUCUGGACUAGGAAACUAGAUUUGUAUUUUAUGGAUAAUGUUGUUCACCGUAGCUUUAUGUAUAACAGCAAAAAAAAAGGAGCUUCAUAUUAGGAGAGUGUUUAAAUCAAUCAAUAAAUGUUAUCAUUCGUAUGAGCUAAUAAUUGUUUCAAAGCUGACAAGUUGAAAUGCUCAUUUUAUACUAACAGUAAAAUAUAAAACAUAUGGAGUACAGUCAUAAAGUUUAAAAAGAAAAUAAUUAUACAGAGUAUCAUAUUUCAACUUGGUAUGAGGAUAAAUUUAAUGGUAUAUGAAUAAAAAUUCUAGACCAGAACUAGGAGACAAAUUUAUUCUUAGAAAUGUAAAUUUAUAUGCUCAAGCUCCAAAAUAUAAAUAGAAGAGGACUUUAAUUACAGCAUUAUUAGAAAGACAGAGGGUUUUGCUGCAUGGGCCAGAUGAUGUGACCAUAGCAAAGCAAGGUGUCCUUAGGUGCUGUUCCUAUUGUCCAGGCAGGGGGAAGCACAGUCCCCAUGCUCUGUGUAAGUCAGGCAUGACUGGGAUGUUUUCCUCCAUGUUUCCAGCAGUCUUGUUCAUUUCACUUUGACCAGUGGCAGGGAGGGAUCCUGCAGGACCAACUAGAAACCUUGUUAUAUCAGGGACUAGAGAGGGACUUAGGGAUGUUUAACCUGGAGAUAGGGAAAUUAAGGGACAACAUUCUCACCGACUGCUGGUAUAUGGAGGAAGAAAACUGUAAGUGGUUGCAGAGAGGGUAACUGUCUUUUCUGGGUCAGCAUUAAAGGGACAGAUAUUCCGUAUGGUACGUGCAAGUGUUUAUCUUAUAAAAGGUCACCCGUGGUGCCUAGCAGCAUCGUAAGGAAGGGAUGAUGUCUUAUGCCUCUUCUAACUGUGAGAGUAUGCGAUCCUAACUGAUGGUUGACCCGAUGGCCCAGUAAGCUGAGAAGGAAGGAAUGUGGAGGGAUGCAUAGAUUGUGUAAGCCUGUGGGCCUCAACUCACCUUUGGGGUAGAGUCACCUGCCACGAUGGCUCACACAGACUGCUGGGUCUACCCCAGAGUGUCUGAGUCACAGGGCUGGAGGGAGAUGUCUGGAUUUGCAUUUUGAAUAAAUUUUCUCAUGCUUUGAUUGCCUGAGAAUCACAUUUUCGGACCCACUGCAUCAGCCCAAUUGCAACAAAUAUGCUAGCACUUGCUGGUAUAGACAGUCCAGCAACAAAUUGUGGCAUUGGGGGGCACAUGCUGAAGAAUGACUUCCUUUCUUAGCUCUGACUCCUGGAAAAUGGACAGCAGCCCAUUCUUCCCAGCACCACAUUCCUGCCCUGAUCCUGGGGUAGUCCUACCUCCAGGCCAACCCAUUAGCACCAACCAUUAGGAUGGGAACAGGCACCACCAUCUACUGGUCUGUUAACUGCCCUUAGAUGGUAGGGAAGUGUGUUGUCCCCAAGAAGUGCAUGAAGAACUAGGGUCUUGGUCUAGAGCAUUAGGAUAGCUGUCUGUGUAUUGUUGACUGUUUUCCGUGACAUGGGAAGGAAGCUGUUCUCACCAAAGCACCUUGUUCAUUAUAGCGGAUAUGGGCAUGAUGUAAGAAGCCACAGAUAGAUCCCCAAAGUUUGGUGGUGAUAGAGUAAUUCUCAGUGACUCUGAGGGAUUUUAAUGUGUGCCCCCUUUGAUCAAAUCCGUUCAAACUGAGCCUCAUGUAUUUGAGUUUUCAGCUAAUUGGUUUAGGAAAAUAUCCAUGUGCACACCCCCACAACUCCUGCUGCUCUCUUUCCCAGCUUAUGGUGUAAAGUGUGAGCAGACUGUGUGCUUAACACACUUUGGAGUCUGUUGCUAUGGUGCUGGGGAGGAAUUUGGUUCUCAUAGCAACAUCAGGUUGACUUGACGCACCUCAGACCAUUGGCAGAGCUCAGGCAGGAGCUUGUGAUCCCAUGUAGUUUGGGACGGAUGGCACAUGGUGUACUGAAAAGUACUCUGUUCUCCCACAACCCAUCCACCCCUUCCUUCCUGCACUCACUCUUUUUUGUAAACCACAAGAAUAAGCCAAAGCAUUAAUUUGGUGUUGUUGUCAUAUUGCCAUUUUUGAGCUAUCCCUCCCUAUACCAAGGCCAAUCCCUGCACUGGCCUGUUGCUGGGAAGUCCAGUCAGAGGCCCAGGGUCUCGUGAGUGGGAACAGCUUUCUGAUCAAGACAAAGAUGACUAGGGAUUCUUCAUGCAACUUCUUUCUGGAGGCUCCUUAGCAGUGUUAAUACACUGGGUGGGACCAGCCCUGGGAAAGGCCACCAACCCACUUUGCAGAAGCUUUUCAACUCACUGAUAAAACAAACAGAGGGUCUCCACUCAUGUGCAUUUUAUGCACAGAACUGGCCUGUGGCUGUAGGACAUGCUUAGGAUCUGGGCAUCUGGCUAAACAAAGUAUAACAACCUGAAUCCAUCAUAACAGGAAGGAAAUCUGGCUGGUCUCUAUAGACCUUUGGUGAAGGAAAAGGCACACUCAUCCUGGCCACUCAGUGCAUUAUAGGGUCUCUUGUGGGAAACAGUCACAGCUUCCUGGUCACUGACCUACCGCUCACCAUGCCUUCAUUCUACAAAUGACCACUGAGCGUCUCCACGUGUGAAACUAGAUCACAAGACAGGACUUCUCUCCUAGUGCCCGUGAUCUAGCUGGGGUGGGGGUGGGGUAAACAGCCAAUAAGCCAGGAGAGAGAAGAAUCAGGGAUGGGGACUUAAGAUAGGGUGACAUGUUAGAGAGUAGGAGGGGAGCUGCAAGCUGGGGUGACUUGUAGAAAGAACUUCCCAGGGAGCAGGUGAAGGCAGGGCUCAGCCUUCCACUUAGGGGGAAGCAUAUCUGUAGCCCUCGUCCGCCUCAAGAAGAAAUGAGUCCUAAGUAACUUGCAUGGAACCACUGACUGUGUGUAGAAGGGAAGUGAAAUAGUGAGAUUCAUAUUUGUAAAGUGGCGCCACCUGCUUCAUUUCCCCUUUGCCUUUCCAUUUGUGAUUAUGUUCUAUAUUUUACAAGUGAAUAGUGGGUAAUUUGUAAAAAACUAGAGGACUGUUUAACUCGUAGUCUUAGACUUUGCUUGGUAUCUGGUGAAAGCUGUUUGCUUCAUCAUAACAUCAUAAAGGAUUUUACAUGGAAAGACACUAAGAGUUUAAAUAUUGAAUGUUCCCUAAAGAUCCCUGUGUCAAAGGGUUGCUCCAUAGCCUACUGUGCUGAUGGAAGGCGAUGGGACUUUUAGGAGGUAGAGCCUAGGGGCCCCGUGAAAAGAAGCUAGGUCACUGGGCCUGUGCCCUGCAAGGGAUUUGGAGAUCCCAGCCCCUUGUUUAUCUUUCUUCUUUCUGGCUGCCAUGAGGUGAGUAACUUCGCUCCUCCAUGCACCUCCACCAUGAUACGCUACCUCAUUGUGGGCCCAGUUUAAUGGGGCCAACCAACCAUGGAACACAUGACCCCAUGUAAACCCUUCAUAUCUGUAAAUUAUUCAUCUCAGAUAUUCCAUUACAAUGACAGUAAACCAACUUGUAAGCAGGCCAACUGUGUGUUAGCUCGGGUCUCUCUUCUUAUAAAGCCCCAAAUCCAUCAAGAGGAGGAUCCUUCCCUAUGACCUCACCUAAUCCUAAUUAUCUCCCACAGAUGCCAUCUCCAAAUGCCUGCAUGUCAACAACAGUUUGAGAGGCAUUCAGAACAAGACAGUGACAGUUAAGAAAGAGCAUUUAUUUAGUUGUUAUUAUACAUACAUAUCUGCAUAAGCAUGUAAUAACAACCUGCUGAGUCUACUUAGGUUGUAUGUGACUUUAGGGAUUAGGGGGCUCAUCCCUGAGGAAGAAUAAUUUUCCAGAUCUCAGCAGUCCUUAGAUGCCUACAGUUCUCUGUUUAGGGGUGAGGCCCUAUGAGAUUUUCCCCCUUCUAAUUUAGCAUAUCUAUUCAUGUUGCCCUUACUCACUUCUUGUUUAGGCAACCAUAUUAUUGGGGUAUCAUGGGUGAAGCUCCCCGUCAUUUCUUAGGGAAUAUGUAACAAGUCAGAGCCUAUUUACUUAAAAAAAAAAGAAAAGUGAAGGAAAAACCAUGUGAUGCAGCUUUGUGAUGGUUAGUUUCAACUGUUGAAUCUGACAUAGCUCAGUGAGUUAUUUAGAAUGAUUUGGCCUGUGCGCAUGUCUGUUGGUGGUUGUCUGACUGUUAAUCGAGGUGGAAAGGCACUCUGAAUGUGAGUGGUUUCACCUGCUGGACCCUGGCCUGGAUGGUUAGAGAACAGUAGCUGAGCAAUGGCAGCAAACGAGGAUCCAUGUGUGUGUCUGCUCCCUCUCUGCUCCGAUGCUCUAUUCUGCCUAGACCUCCAUGCAGUAAGAAAGCAUCACUUGGAAUUGUAAGAUAAAUAACAUUGAUACUGCUUUUAGUUAGGGUAUGUUAUCACAGCAGCAGAGGUGAUACUAGGAUACUUCUAUAAGCCAGGGGACAAUUUGUAAGUCAUACCUAUCUUGUUCUUUAGACUUAGUAAAUGAGGUUCUACUUUCUUCUCCUGCAACUGGGGGGGCAGUUAUUAUGCCACCCUUCAAAGUGCAUUGCCAUUCCUUUUCCACAGACUUACCUUACUGUGGGUUAGGUCCCUUACCUGCUUCCCUUCCCUCUGGACAACACUUUGCUGUGGCUCAGUGGCCACCAAGGAAAGAGCGCAGCUAAGACAAUGCAGAAGGGACAAUGUCUUCCUUCCCUGUACUCUGCAGAGGUCCCAGUGGAGCUGUGACAUGCAAGAACAAGUUGAGUUCUGAAGGAUCACAGACUCCAUCCAGCCUCUGUUUCUCAGAAGAUGAAGCUUAGCUGCUUGGGGGACAAUGAUCCUCCUUGGGUAGGGUCUUAAAGCUAGUGGUCUUUAUGCGCACUUUUAUUUACAGUACUUGGUUUUUAUUUUCUCUUCCUUUCCUGAUCAGUCUUCCCCACUCUUCACAAAAUCCUGGAGGUCUUCUUUGAUAUGCUAUAAUGGUAUAGUACUGGAAUGUCAAUUGCAACAGGUGGAAAAUUUGGCUGCUGCAUUGGGUUAUACUGAAGUUCUCAUUGUGGUGGUGAUUGCUGUCUUCAUGCUUUCUACUUGUGUGGUGUUUGGGUUUUCUUACAUCUUCCCUGACCUCCUGGGUCUUGCUAAUGUUCCUGUGACUGGGUGUGUUAGUCAUUAUUCUCUAGACUGAUGUGCCAGUGAGGUAGCCUGAACAUGCUGUUAAAGCUGCAAGUCCUUUGUCAUGUAUGACUGUAUCAUAGCCUAUGCCAUGCUGCCUCCUCUGGGCCAGGCUAUAGCGUGGAAAUUUGGACCGAGAGUGGUUUUCCCACUCCUGAGUCUGGCAGCAUGGCCAGGUCUCUCUGGUGCACAUCCACAUGCAGGUCCCCAUUUCUGUGGUGGUAUAUAGACUCCUCCUCCAUAACUUCAGAGGGUCUAUAUACCAUUCAUUUAGAAGUCAGAAUCUAAUAAUAGGCAAUGCCCACUGCUGCAGCAAUGAUAUAUCAGCAUCAUGUGACAAUAGACCAGCUUCUGUCCCUGACAGCCUUGCUGAAUCCAGCUAGCACAGAGAUGGAGGUUGACUGCAGUCACCCAACUGUUAGAUUCUAGAUUCCUUGGAAAGCUGUGUGGCUCCACAUGUGUAUCUAUGGCAGGAGAAUUACAUGUUUGGCAACCUUCUCUGUGGCAUGGCCAGCAGCAAUCAUAAGGAGCUUCUGUUGUCCACCUGUGCCUAACAUCACAUAGACAUUUUUGUGAGCUUUGUUGUUUUGUUACUAUGUAGCCCAGAAUGGGCUUAAACUUUUGAUUUUUCUGCCUCUGGCUUGUGAGUGCUGUUCUCCAGGUUACCCACCGUGUACAGCUUUCAGCUUUGUAGGUGCCAGUGCUGACUUGACUUUCAGAUGGGAAAACAGCCAAGAGAAGGCCCGAUUGGUUCAUCCGGGGUCUGUGUCCUAGAGAAGGUCAAGCUGGUCCCUUGCCUGCUCCCCUUUCCCCUGGAAAGCACCAAGGAAAAGAGCACAGCUGAGACAGUGCUCUGCAUGCUUCAGAGACACUAAUGUGCAAAGGAGCUAUGAUGUGUAAGGCGCAGGCACUGCCCACCUCAGCCACACAAUCCUGGCACCAAGGUCAAGAGGUCCAUCUUCUGGGUUCCUAUGGAACCAUGACCAAGUCUUUUGUCAUAAACUGGCCAAACAUAGCCGACUCACCACAGAGUGAAAGGGCCAGACUGCAAGUCCUCAAGGCCAGAGACACUGACACUUUCUUACAUUUGACAACUCAUUGUAGAUGGUUGAAUAUUUCCCUUGGGAAGUGUUUCUGGCUUCUUGUGUGCAGUUAAUGUGAAAUUGUUGCUUCUGGUUGCUCUUGGCCCCACUGCCUCGCCUUUCUGUACAUUAUAUCCUCAAGAUGUUUUUCACUGUUGCCACCGUGGCUGAUAACAAGUGAGUCUUCAGCCUGGCGAAUGUAUACAUUUUAAUAUACCUGUCCGGGGCAGAGAUUUUCUCACAGCGAUUGCCAUUAGUUUGGUUUCUGUGGCUGUGAGAAACACCAUAACUAGAAGCAACGUGAGGAAGACAGGGAAUUACAAAAAUGCCCCCACAGACUUGCUUACACCCCAGUCUUGUGGAGACAUUUUUCAAUUGAGAAUCCUUUUUCCCAGAUGACCCUAGCUUGUAUCAAGUUAACAAAGAUCUAACCAGCCCAGUGAAGCUGUAAUUAACAAGAUUCCCCCAGCCUCAGUGUUGGCCGGUGUUGACACAGGCUGACUGUCCUGCAGAGACAGUGCUGGUGCAGGCCACCAGAUCAAGAGGAAUGGGGGGAACAAAGAUUAAAGCAACCUAAAGUUGUUAGAGAAGAAUCAAAUAAACAAGCUAGAAGGAUGGAGAAUCCGGCUGAGCAGGGCGUCAGGGCAUCAUGCCACCUACACCACCUGCCCCAGCACAGAGCUCCCUGCCAGUGGCUGUUUGAUAAGCGUCGCAGGAAUUGCCAAGAUGGCUAACAGGGUGGCAGAAACUGAAGUCGCAGUCACAGCUUCCUCCCAGACCCUGGCUGUUGCUUGGGCAAGCACUAGCUGUGUACCCACAGAAAGCUACAGUAGAGAGCACACUGGAGCAGAAGUCCAGGCCAGACUCCAAGUGUGGAACCUGCUUGUGACUGGGGCAAGCUUGAGCCCCACUGGUGAGUAAAGUAUUUCUUGUCAUGCUUGUGACAAAGUCUCCAUGAAAUCGUGUGUGUGACACUCUCAGGAGACCUGUGCUAGGGGAUGGGUAGAGGGGGUAAGGCCUCUCUAUCUUCAUAACUCCAACACAUGGCACAGGGCAGGGAUAUACAAAGAUCUCAACAAACAAUAGGCGAGCAGUUGCUGGGUGGCUAGCUCAGGGACAGAGGGACAAGUAAAUGUACAAGGAAUGCUGGGUUACUCCUAAAGAUUCUUGUCACUUCCUUCUAAAGGGUUGCCUUGGCCUUUUGUGACAGGCAAGGAGGCUCUGCCCCUUUGUCAGACUAGGGACCCUUCCUGUCGCUGGAGUUGUCUGCACAGUGGGCACUGUGGAGGGUUUAACUGCUCGCUUUAGGAGGACUCUGACACUGAGCUCUAACCAGAAUACUGUGGCCCUUGACUGAACAGUCCCUCUUAUGGCCAGCUGAGUGUGUUCCUAGUGUACCUUUCUACCUAGAUACCUCCGCUUGGGUCCUCAGAGAGAGGAUAGUACCCCUAAGAGCAGAGUUGCCCAGGCUUGCUGGGCUGCAGAUGGAUAACCAUAAUCACAGAGAGAGGAUCUGGCCUUUUCUGAAGGGCCACCUGCUGCUGCCAUUGUCACAUUCUGUGCUCUGCUGCCAUCCUCUGCGGGGGUGGAGCUGCAUCUUGGCAGCCCUGGGCUAAUAAUUAGGGGUGGGGCAACUCCCCAGCUGGUGAGAUAUUUGGGGAGGGGCCUGGAAGAAAAGGGAGGGCUGGGAUCCAGCCAACAAAAGGAGGAAUUAAAGGGGCUGGCCCAGGAACCCAUAGUUAGCAUUUCAUCUCCAGCAGUCUCUGUAGGUUCCACAGAAGCAAGGCUUUGCCUCUGUGCCUUCCCGCUUUAUUGCUGAUGGAACCUAGACAUGAAACAACAAGACUCUGCUGAAGGUGGAGCACCAGGUCUUAGGAGUGAGCUCCCAAGGCCAAGGUGUCUCAGGAACAGAAGUUGGGAAAACAGGAGCAGCUUCCAAAGGGUUCUGCGUAUGUCCCAGACCACAGGCCCUUCUGUUGGAAUGGGUUAAAUGCCCUAAUGGAUAGACUGUCUUGGCAUCCUC